UACGAAGGGGGCUAGCGUUGCUCGGAAUCACUGGGCGUAAAGGGUGCGUAGGCGGGUCUUUAAGUCAGGGGUGAAAUCCUGGAGCUCAACUCCAGAACUGCCUUUGAUACUGAAGAUCUUGAGUUCGGGAGAGGUGAGUGGAACUGCGAGUGUAGAGGUGAAAUUCGUAGAUAUUGCGUAGAACACCAGUGGCGAAGGCGGCCACCUGGGAAGCGACUGACGCUGAGACGCGAAAGCGUGGGGAUCAAACAGG
rnacentral:rRNA from 1 species